UAGUGCUGGUUGUCCCUUGGAGUAUCUAUUUUCCUUUUCCUGAGGCAAGAUAUUAUACAUGGAAGAAUAUUGUUAAGGAGGAAGCAGUCUCUAAAUCAUUCUCUGAAUACAAUGGUUUGCACACGGGAGGUUUCUGAAGAGUAGAAAUGAUUCUUAUGUUAUGAAAUCUGGAGAAAAUAUGCAUGACAAAUAUGGAAACAUGUUUAGAAGAACUGUAC